UACAGAGGUCUCAAGCGUUGUUCGGAUUCAUUGGGCGUAAAGGGUGCGUAGGUGGUGAUGCAAGUCUGGUGUGAAAUCUCGGAGCUCAACUCCGAAAUUGCACCGGAUACUGCGUGACUCGAGGACUGUAGAGGAGAUCGGAAUUCACGGUGUAGCAGUGAAAUGCGUAGAUAUCGUGAGGAAGACCAGUUGCGAAGGCGGGUCUCUGGACAGUUCCUGACACUGAGGCACGAAGGCCAGGGGAGCAAACGGGG
rnacentral:rRNA from 1 species